UACGCAGGGGGCUAGCGUUGCUCGGAAUCACUGGGCGUAAAGGGUGCGUAGGCGGGGCUUUAAGGCAGGGGUGAAAUCCUGGAGCUCAACUCCAGAACUGCCUUUGAUACUGAGGAUCUUGAGUUCGGGAGAGGUGAGUGGAACUGCGAGUGUAGAGGUGAGAUUCGUAGAUAUUCGCAAGAACACCAGUGGCGAAGGCGGCUCACUGGCCCGAUACUGACGCUGAGGCACGAAAGCGUGGGGAGCAAACGGG
rnacentral:rRNA from 1 species